AUUAUGGCGAUUAACGCUAAGUAUGGAGAAUCAGCACAUGAUUCAUUUGUGUGGAAACAUUCCAAUGAACGCGCGUAUUUCGCGCUUCUUGGAGAUGGUGGGUAUCCUCUUGAACCGUGGUUGUUAACACCGUACAGGACUUCUACUGACAUUAGUAGGACCAAGUUUAAUGAAGUUCAGGCAAAGGCCAGAAACAUUGUUGAAUGAUGUAUUGGAGUUUACAAAGGUCGAUGGAGAAUUUUAAUGGAAGAACGAAAAAGUAAAUACGAUCCAAAAAAAAAUUGCCAUUUUUGCGAAUGCAUGCGCUGCAUUACACAACAUAUGAAUUUAAUAUAAUGUCAAACACCUUAACGUUGAAGCGAAUCCUUUGAACGACGAAGUUUUUGAACCUGCCGCUGGUACAUCUGAAAAUUCCCGAAACAGCAACAAACAAAUAGCCGAGAAAAUAAGGGAUAAUAUAAAAAAUUGAUUGGCUACAGUUUAGCCAAUUAGAAAUUAAACAAAAUGCAUUGGACAGUUCAUAACGAAAAAUUAGGUUGUUAGGGUGGUCCAAAAGAACACGUGAAAAAGUAAAGUAAGAAUAAUUAUGCUAUUUUAGGA